rnacentral:rRNA from 1 species
GCUCUCGCAUGGUUGAUUGGUCAGCGCGAAGUUCUACUUUAAUUAGUGGGACUUUUGCCACGUUUCUCUGAACGAUCUUAACAAAUCAUCAUGGGGCUUAUAGUGUGGGCAUCUUGGCGUAUUACAUUGGGCAGGACAUUUCGUUAUUAAACCUGUCUGAAUUAACGGAUUGGCGUGUUUUUUUGCUGUUGCUGAAACUGCCGCCAUGAAGAAGGAAUCGCGAGUAAUCGUAGAUCAUUAGCGCUACGGUGAAGGUUAACCCUCUAGAGUACAAACUGCCCGUCACCUAAGAUAACUGCAUUGUACCCCAAGUACUAUACCAACACCAUGGUCGCAGGUUUGGAACCAAGGCGUGAUGCAGAAAUUUUAGCAAGUCGAAACAAGGUUGGGGUAGUGGAAGCUGCCCCAGAAUUAAUUAUAAUAUAACAUGAUUGUCUAGUGUAAUUUUAGUAAACUAAAAUUACACUAGACAAUCUCUGUAUUGUUUAUAGGGUCUAGUAAACUAGACCCUAUAAACAAUACUGC